UCGAGGAUCUUUUGCAAUGCACGAAAGUGUGACAAAGCGACGCUGCGUGGAGGAUGAAGGCCUUCGGGUCGUAAACUCCUGUCAUUCGGGAACAAUGAUUUUGCUGUUAAUAACAGCAGAAAGUGAUGGUACCGAAAGAGGAAGCCACGGCUAACUCUGUGCCAGCAGCCGCGGUAAUACAGAGGUGGCGAGCGUUGUUCGGAUUUACUGGGCGUAAAGGGUGCGUAGGCGGCACCGUGUGUCGGUUGUGAAAUCCCACUGCUCAAUGGUGGAACUGCAAUCGAAACUGCGGAGCUCGAGUGUAUGAGGGGAGAGGGGAAUUCUUGGUGUAGCGGUGAAAUGCGUUGAUAUCAAGAAGAACACCGGUGGCGAAGGCGCCUCUCUGGAAUACUACUGACGCUGAGGCACGAAAGCUAGGGGAGCAAACAGG
rnacentral:rRNA from 1 species